rnacentral:rRNA from 1 species
AUUGAACGCUGGCGGCGUGCUUAACACAUGCAAGUCGAGCGGUAAGGCCCUUUCGGGGGUACGACGAGCGGCGAACGGGUGGAGUAACACGUGGGUGACCUGCCCUCAGCUCUGGGAUAAGCCUGGGAAACCGGGUCUAAUACCGGAUAUGACUCCAUGACGCAUGUUGUGGGUGGAAAGCCUUGUGCGGCUGAGGAUGGGCCCGCGGCCUAUCAGCUUGUUGGGGGGUGA